rnacentral:rRNA from 1 species
CAUGUAGGCGGAUUAAUAGGUUAGAUGUGAAAUUUCUGGGCUUAACCUGGGACUUGCAUAUAAAACGGUUGAUCUAGAGUUAUGAAGAGGAAUGCGGAAUUUCUGGUGUAGCGGUGAAAUGCGUAGAUAUCAGAAGGAACACCGAUGGCGAAGGCAGCAUUCUGGGUGGUAACUGACGCUGAGGUGCGAAAGCGUGGGUAUCGAACA